rnacentral:lncRNA from 1 species
CUGGUAACUAUCGAUUUGGAGAAGAAGAGACACAAAUUGAUCCGCUUUCGAACAACACGAUCCGAAACUCAGCAAAUUCUUUUUAUUAUUUUUUAAUAUUUUUCUUUCAGUUAGGAGCACCAAAGGAGUAACCAUAGAAAAUUUAAGCUUAAACAAGUGAAAGACAUGGCCUGUGGAAUUUUCUGAAGUUUGUGAAAAAUGAGAAAAAAACUUCACGAGCUGAAAACUCAAACUUCGGAGGUGAAUUUAGAGAUUCUAAAGGUGUCAAAUCCACCAAUGGAGGGGACAGACAGAUACAAAAUUUUUUCUGAUCAAUUUUGAUAUAUGGAACGUUGAAAUCGGAGUUCGUAUGCGAAAGUUAUGGCUAUUUUACAAACGGACUCCGGAUUAGAGGACAAAACAGUCCGAAAUUGGGAAAAAUUUGCGGCGGUGGCUAGAAAUUGAUGGAAACAGUGGGGAAAAACAUAUGAACUGGACUCGAUAAAGACCUAACGAGCAACAAGACCUCGACCAGGACACAAACUCAACACUGUGGACUCUCAAACUGAAAUAUGCAAAGGCUAUGGCGUGGAAGGGUUGUAGGACAGAAAAAUGAUAUGGCACUGGACUUAUGGGACGAACACAAGAACACUCGAAACUAAGGGUAGAUAUGAACCUAACGGUACACCUAAAGCUUUGAUUACCACUUGAUGAGAACAAGGGCGGCCCGAUCUUCCGAAAGGUUCUGGUAACUCUCGAUUUGGUGGGGACGAGACACAAAUCGAUCCGGCUUCUAAACAACACGAUCUGAAAGCCUACAAUUUUUUUUAUUUUUUUGAUAUUUUUCUUUGAGUUAGGAGCACCAAAGGAGUAACCAUAGAAAAUUUGAGCUUAAACAUGUGAAAGACAUGGCCUGUGGAAUUUUCUGAAGAUUGUGAAAAAUGUGAAAAAACUUCGCGAGGUGAAAACUCAAACUUCGGAGGUGAAUUUGGAGGUUUUAAAGUUUUCAAACCCGCCAAUGGAGGGGACACACAGAUCCAAAAAUUUUUUCUAAUGAAUUUUGAUAUAUGGAACAUUGAAAUCGAAGUUCGUAUGCGAAAGUUAUGGUUAUUUUACAAACGGAUUCCGAAUUAGAGGACAAAACGGUCCGAAAGUGAGAAUAAUUUGCGGUGGUGGCUAGAAAUUGAUGCAAACAGUGGGGAAAAACAUAUGAACUAGACUUUAACAAGACCUAACCAGCAACAAGACCUAGACCAGGAGACAAACUCAACACUUCGGACAAUGAAACUGUAAUAUGCGAAGGCUAUAGCGUGGAAGGGUUGUAGGACAGAAAAAUGAUAUGGCACUGGACUUAUGGGACGAAUACAAGAACACUCGAAACUAAAGGUAGUUAUAAACCUAAAGGUAUACCUAAAGCUUUGAUUACCACUUGAUUUGAACAAGGGUGGCCCGAUCUUCCGAAAGGUUCCGGUAACUAUCGAUUUGGAGGAGACGAGACACAAAUCGAUCCGGCUUCCGAACAACACGAUCCGAAACUCAGCAAAUUCUUUUUAUUUUUUUGUUAUUUUUCUUUCAGUUAGGAGCACCAAAGGAGUAACCACAAAAAAUUUUCUGUGGAGUAACAACAAGUGAAAUACAUGGCCUUUGGAAUUUUCUGAAGUUUCUGAAAAAUG